CCCAGAGCCCAAAGGUAGGCAUUCAACGUCAUAGAUAAGACACAGAUUCAGAAGAAUGUCAACUGUUAAGCUGCCUUCUCCUCAUUAUACCUUGGGGAUUUCGUCUGUUGUGAUGUGUGAUGCUGCGGUGGGGGCUUUUUGGUGAAGACGAGAUGUAAAUUUGGAGGGGAAAAUAUUACUCUGAGGAAACGUGAAAGUCGUGCAGCCUACCGUCAACUAUUUUGUUCAAAAUUCAAACUCAUUGUAAUUCUACUGAAUGUGCCAUCGAAAUGAUACAGGAUUCAUCUUAAUUAUUGGCUGUUUCUAUUGGACUUGCUAGAUCACCAGUCCCAGGCUCUCAGCCUUCCCCCGAUUUUGAGUGUUCACUACUUACUGUUUAAUUAUUUCUAGAUCAUAGACGUAAAGCACAUUGAUGACAAAAACUAUAAACAAGAUUUGAUGAGAAGGAGGCAUUCACAUUGUACAGGUUUCUAAAUUAGCAUGACAGACUUGAUGAGAAGUCAUGUUGUUUGAAGAAAAAGGACAAGGACUAUACAGUCAAUAAGGUUCCUUGUUUGCUAACCUGUUGGCUGCUACCCUUGAAUCUCCCUGUUUACUUCUUUACAAGGGUCCUCUUGAUUUGAGGGUAACUCUUUCGCUACUGAUCACAUCCAAUGUUGUAAACUGACGAGAGAAUGCUGCAAUUCAAGACUGAUACAUUGUGUAGUUGUUAGGUCAAUGACAAGUGCAUAUCUGGGCUCCCUUCUUUUCUGUGGUCCCGUUUUCCUAACUAACCACUUACCAACGCCCGCCGGUGGUCACUCACCCGCUGUGAAACCAGGAGGAGGGGAGGGCUCUGGUCGAACUCUGGUCUUGGAA